rnacentral:tRNA from 1 species
GUAGAGGGACGAACGGAGACAUUGCCACAAAAACUUGAAAACCGUUUGACAGCAAUGUCACAAGGGUUCGAAUCCCUUCCUCUCCGCCA